rnacentral:rRNA from 1 species
CAUUGUCGAAACCUGCAAAGCAGACCGCGGACACGUUUCUAACGCCGACCCCCCGCCGGGGCGCGCGCACCCGUGCGCCGCCCCGCGCGGGCUAACCAACCCCGGCGCCGAACGCGCCAAGGAAAACAAAAAAAAGAGUGAGCGCCGCCGCGCCGCACCCCGUCCGCGGGACGUGCGGCGCGGGCGGGCGCCUAUCGAACGUCAAAACGACUCUCGGCAACGGAUAUCUCGGCUCUCGCAUCGAUGAAGAACGUAGCGAAAUGCGAUACUUGGUGUGAAUUGCAGAAUCCCGUGAACCAUCGAGUCUUUGAACGCAAGUUGCGCCCGAAGCCAUCAGGCCGAGGGCACGUCUGCCUGGGCGUCACGCAUCGCGUCGCCCCCCGCCCACCAUGGUGGGGUACGGGGGGGCGGAGACUGGCCUCCCGUGCGCCCCGGCGCGCGGCCGGCCCAAACGCGAUCCCCCGGCGGCCCGAGCCGCGGCGAGUGGUGGUUGAGCAUCUCAAUCGUUGCGCCGCGGCCCCCGGUCCGUCCGCACGGGCAUCGAGCACCGACCCAGCGGCGCGCGCGCGCGCCUCCGACCGCGACCCCAG